AGAAUUUCGGUUAUCGAUGGGGAUGCGUUCCAUUAGGCAGUUGGUGGGGUAACGGCCCACCAAACCUUCGAUGGAUAGGGGUUCUGAGAGGAAGGUCCCCCACAUUGGAACUGAGACACGGUCCAAACUCCUACGGGAGGCAGCAUG
rnacentral:rRNA from 1 species